CCUACGGGUGGCUGCAGUGAGGAAUAUUGCGCAAUGGGGGCAACCCUGACGCAGCGACGCCGCGUGAGUGAAGAAGGCCUUCGGGUUGUAAAGCUCUGUCGGAAGGGAAGAACGGUUCAGGUGUUAAUACCAUCUGGAUUUGACGGUACCUUCAAAGGAAGCACCGGCUAACUCCGUGCCAGCAGCCGCGGUAAUACGUAGGGGGCUAGCGUUAUCCGGAAUUACUGGGCGUAAAGGGUGCGUAGGCGGCCCUUCAAGUCAGAGGUGAAAGGCUACGGCUCAACCGUAGUAAGCCUUUGAAACUGUAGGGCUUGAGUGCAGGAGAGGAGAGUGGAAUUCCCAGUGUAGCGGUGAAAUGCGUAGAUAUUGGGAGGAACACCAGUUGCGAAGGCGGCUCUCUGGACUGUAACUGACGCUGAGGCACGAAAGCGUGGGGAGCGAACAGGAUUAGAUACCCGUGUAGUC
rnacentral:rRNA from 1 species